AACGAACGCUGGCGGCAGGCUUAACACAUGCAAGUCGAGCGCCCCGCAAGGGGAGCGGCAGACGGGUGAGUAACGCGUGGGAAUCUACCCAUCUCUACGGAAUAACGCAUGGAAACGUGUGCUAAUACCGUAUAUGUCCUUCGGGAGAAAGAUUUAUCGGAGAUGGAUGAGCCCGCGUUGGAUUAGCUAGUUGGUGGGGUAAAGGCCUACCAAGGCGACGAUCCAUAGCUGGUCUGAGAGGAUGAUCAGCCACACUGGGACUGAGACACGGCCCAGACUCCUACGGGAGGCAGCAGUGGGGAAUAUUGGACAAUAGGCGCAAGCCUGAUCCAGCCAUGCCGCGUGAGUGAUGAAGGCCCUAGGGUUGUAAAGCUCUUUCACCGGUGAAGAUAAUGACGGUAACCGGAGAAGGAGCCCCGGCUAACUUCGUGCCAGCCGCCGCGGUAAGAC
rnacentral:rRNA from 1 species